AGAGUUAUUACCAAACUUGCAGAUGGAGGUAGGAGGAACAGAGGGUUUGUUGAUGGAUGGACUCAGGAUUUACAACUAUCUUUAUAGGUUCAGGCCUAUAAAGAGGCCUCAUCAACUGGAGAAGGUAAGAUAGGGAGAUGUCAGGUUCUGCAUCAGAGCCCCAAAUCAACAGUAAAAACGGCCACUGGGGGGAUUUGUAGCUUUGGUAGGUGUCAAACACUCUGAGUUAAAAGUGUGAAGCAACUGUCAAAAGUCUUAAAGCUCUCUGAGAAGCCACUGUAGAUGUAGGUGAAUAGAUGCAUCUUAUCUGAGAGCUGUAAGCUGCCUCUGUGUAAACCCACUCCCAGGAUUCCAGCUCUACUUACCAGCCGAGGCUACCACCACACAGAGUGUACUGCAGUUUCAGGCUUGGAGAGGAAGGGAGGAAGCCUAACCCUCGGGAGACCCCGUCAUGUUUUGAUGUCAUUGCAUGUCCCAUUUGGCCAGCCCGGAAAAAAUAAAAUGAGGAAGAAUGGCCCACAAACAACCUGGACAGAUAGAAGGCUGCUUUUAAAGAAGCUCACAGACACAGCUGAUUGAUUCUGCGACCUUGCUUUGUUACUCAUCUCUGAGUUUAGAGGCUUCACUGCCAGGGACCUUGUCCAGAGUUUCUGAGACCUCCAACAGCCUGUGGUCUCCUGGUCACUCAGACCCUACUGGUGGCUUCAGAUGCUGGAUCUUGCUGAUGUUUGAAUUAGCUCUCUGUGAAGGGCAUGCUGGUGAGGCCACAUACCAGGAAACCAUGACAAACAACAGAAUUACAGUCUGGUUAAAAAAGAAAAUAUACAUAUGCACAUAUGUAUAUUCCCCUACCCCAGGGGUUGAGACUUUUUUUGGCAUAAAUUUACAUAUAUUUUGGCACAAAUUUGCAUAGAGGUACACGAGAACCUCUCAUUUACAGCACUAAAAUUUGUAUUGUUCCCCUUAGACCCUUGUCACUGGCUGUUACUAAUGUACUGAGUUUCACCAGUUUGUCCUCCAUUUCCUAGAAUUUGUUCUAAUUUUUAGGAAAUGCUUACUAAAUAUCACCAUUGUGUGUGGUGAAAUCCAGCCCUAGAGGACAUCAAAAGGUCUCUUGUUAGCUGGUAGCUAUUGUUAGGUAUUAUCUGUAGAGACAUCGGGUUUCCUGGAAACAUCCCAUAGAGCUGUCCAAAAGUAUUAAUUAUUAAAUUGGGCCUUUAACUGUAUUUAUAGAAAUUAUAAUAUUACGUUUAUAUGUAUAGAAAAGAGAUUAUAUCUAAGCCUUAUAUCUGUAUAAAAAAAGGAUUUUACCAAAAGUACUGGAAGGUGCAUUAUAGUUACUCUCAAAUGUAAUAUUAGGGAUUUAUAUUUACAUAUAUUUGAGACAGGGUCUCACUCUGCCCAGGCUGGAGUGCAGUGGUGUGAUCUCUCGCCUCACUGCAGCCUCCACCUCCUGGGCUCAGGUGAUCCUCCCACCUCAGCCUCCCAAGUAGCUGGGAUUACAGGCACACUCCACCAUGCCUGGCUAAUUUUUUAUAUUUUUUGUAGAGACAGGGUUUUGCCAUGUUGCCCAGGCUGAUCUCAAACACGUCGGCUCAAGUGAUCCUUCCACCUAGGCCUCUCAAAGUGCUAGGAGUACAAGCAUGAGCCACCAUGCCCAGCCAAUAUUAGAUAUUAAUCAUUGUUCAAGAACAAUGUUAUCAAACCUACCUGUGAGCUGGGGCAAGUUGUGUCACUCCCCUGGAGCCUCAGUUUCUUCCUCUGGAAACUGAGGGAAACUACACCAAAUCUGAGUGUUUCCCUAAUCUCAGGCAGCUGACGUCCCCUUUAGAAUUUUUGCCAUCUUCUCAUGUCAUUUAUACUAUUUCUUCAUAUUUUUCUGGAAUUUAAUAACUUUUCAACUUAAACUGGCAUGAUCUACCUUAGCCUAGUCCCAAGCAAAAAUCUCUGUGAAACUACGUGUUCGCUGUACUCUUUUUUCUUGCAUAUUAAAAUAAAUGCAUGACUCUUAAAAUGUUUUUAAGGUGCUCGUUUGUAUUCACUUGAAAUUUUCUCAGGUCCUGCUGCACUUUGAGAAUGUGAUACAAAAAGCUUCAGUGGUGUGCACGAGGAGCUUGGUAUAAGGCCCAGCCCUAGCAGUCAUAAAUGGUAGCUGAGGCAGAAACAGCUAGGUUCCUACCUCAACAUUCUCCUUUCAAUACAGUAACGUGCUGACUUUCAGUUGGGCACACAACCGAAACCAUUUCCCAGGAUUCUUCGCAGCUAGAUAGAACCAUGUAACUUUAUAAUAUAAAUGUAAACAUAAUAUUUUGGACUAUGCUUGGACUAAACAAAACAUUUAGUAAAGCUGGGCAUGGUGGGGUGUGCCUGUAGUCCCAGAUACUCUGGAGGUUGACAGGGCAGGAGGAUCGCUUGAACCCAGGAGUUUGAGGCUGCAGUGAGCUAUGAUCUAUGAUCACGCCACUGCUCUCCAGCCUAAACAACGUAGUGGGACCUUGUCUCUAAAAAAAGAAAAUACAUUUAAAAAUAUAUUUGGUGAGGUUUCUGAGUAUCCCCCUUACGAAAGAGAAGGCAUGUACUUCUGCAACUUCCUCCAUUCUGCUUACUCAAACUUGAAUGGGAGGGCAGCUAUUUCAAACCAUAAAGAUGAGGGCUGUCCCCUAGGGAUGGUAGAACUAAGAGCCAGAAAAGACUAAGUUCUCGAUAAUCAUUUGGAACUGCAAUAGUGGUCCUGGACUACCUAUCUCUAGACUUCUUUUACAUAGGGAGAAAUAUACUUCUCUGUGAAGCCACAACCUUUUAGGAUUUUCUGUCACUUGCAGGUGAAUAUAAAUCUGUUGGAUACAAUAUUGUGUGCAUGGUAGGUGGGCCGUCAGUGGUGAGCCGGGGCUGCCAUUCAGGUAAGAACUGACUGUUAAAUUUUCAUGAAUUUUGCAUGCUGGUGAAUGUCACGUUGGUAGCCUGAAAUUGGCCAUGGUGGGAGUAUUUACACCACAGGAAUUGGCAAAUGCUACAUACACAUCAGGGCUUUAUUUCCUCCAAGAGAUCUGGUUAUUGACUACUUACCAUCUACCACCACAUCACUGUGGGAUUAAGGAUUUUAUCCACUAAAGUUUGUUCAUAUAGAGAGGUGAUCUGACCUCUUCAUUUACCCUCAAUUUGUUCAAAUUCUAAGUCAUGGACUAUAUCGGACCUAGACUUCCAUAUUGUCUAAUUCUGAUCUUGAAUGGAGGAAGCUUGAAUGUUGCUUAUAGGUCUGCUGUGGUCAGUGCUCAAGAGGUCAAUAGUAAAAGAGCCUGCUCAUCCCUCGCUGUGGGGAUAAUGAUUAGAAGGGAUGGGAAAUUAGCAUUCUGACUUUGCCAUCGGGUGUGAGAAGCACUGAAGCUCACAUACAAAUAAUUAACUUGCCAACCAGUUUUUCUUUUUCCUUUUAAAAGGUGGAAGCAGAUAAGUUGGGAAUAGAUACGCCCACAUUCAGAAUUUACUGCUACAGCACAAUUAAUUAUAUUUAAACAACAUAUGCUGCAUAUUGAUUAAGCACAAAUGUAAACCCUUCAUAUAAAUUAAGCUAAUGAAUUUAACUUUUCCAUAGUCAGAUCUUAUCUUUAGUGAUUCUUUUUCAUAUAUUUCUAUAGGUAUAAAGUUGUCAGGUAUAAUCACUGUCAAAUGGUUAACCAUUUGCUUUGAUAUCCUUUCUGUUCAGUUAGUGUUCAUGCGUGGUUUCACCUCAACCCAGGGAGACAGUCUCACACUUUAGGGGAUGGAUUAGUGUACCUUCAUGGGACAGCAGAGGCUUUUGCAUAGACGAGUUCUGUUGAAACUCUGGUUUCUCUAUGCUUACAGCUGCCUAACCUUACAGUAACUUAUUUAACUACUGUAUCAGUUAUCCAUUGCUGCAUAACAAAUGAUCUCAAAACUUAGUGACUUCAAACAACAAUUUAUUAUUUCUCAUGAUUCUGGGGCUUGACUGACUGAUUUUUCUGCUGGUCUUGCCUGGGCUCACCCAGGUCCCUGCAUUCAGCUAGUGUCUGGGAUGGAACUGUUAACCACAGAGUCUUGGUUUCUUCCCACGUGCCUUUUCUUUUCUUUUCUCUUUUUUUAGAGGGAGUCUCGUUCUGUCGCCC
rnacentral:lncRNA from 10 species